rnacentral:rRNA from 1 species
AAUGCAGUCGACGGGAUAAUCUUGUGGCAAUACCGGGUUGUUCAGUGGCGAACGGGUGCGUAACACGUGGAUUACAUACCGGAAAGCGAGGAAUAGCCCAGGGAAACUUGGAUUAAUGCCUCAUGUGGUCGCAAGACUAAAGGCGGGGCAACCUGUCGCUUUCUGAUUGGUCCGCGGCCUAUCAGCUAGUUGGCGGGGUAACGGCCCACCAAGGCGACGACGGGUAGCUGGUCUGAGAGGAUGACCAGCCACACUGGAACUGAGACACGGUCCAGACACCUACGGGUGGCAGCAGUCGAGAAUCAUUCACAAUGGGGGCAACCCUGAUGGUGCGACGCCGCGUGGAGGAUAAGGUCUUCGGAUUGUAAACUCCUGUCAUGCGAGAGCAAGAUCUGGGCGGGUAACUCCGCUGGAUUUGAUAGUAUCGCAAGAGGAAGAGACGGCUAACUCUGUGCCAGCAGCCGCGGUAAUACAGAGGUCUCAAGCGUUGUUCGGAAUCACUGGGCGUAAAGGGUGCGUAGGUGGCGUGGAAAGUCAGAUGUGAAAUCCGGGGGCUCAACCUCCGAAUAGCAUCCGAUACUCCCAUGCUAGAGAACUGGAGGGGGAUCUGGAAUUCUCGGUGUAGCAGUGAAAUGCGUAGAUAUCGAGAGGAACACUAGUGGCGAACGCGAGAUCCUGGACAGUAUCUGACACUGAUGCACGAAUGUCACGGGAGCAAACGGGAUUAGAUACCCCGGUAGUCCUGACAGUAAACGGUGCACGUUUGGUGUGGGAGGAUUCGACCCCUUCUGUGCGGAGCUAACGCGUUAAACGUGCCGCCUGGGAGUACGUCGCAGACUAAC